rnacentral:misc_RNA from 2 species
AACGCACAUUGCGCCCUCUGGUAUUCCGGAGGGCAUGCCUGUUCGAGCGUCAUUAUAACCAAUCACGGAAGUGGUAUUGGGGCUUGCUACACCGCAUCCCUUAAAACUAGUGGCGGUGCUAUAGUGCUCUUAGCGUAGUAAUUAUUCCGCUCUUGAAAACUAAAAACACCUGUCAGAACCCCUAAUUUCUUUUAAGGUUGACCUCGGAUCAGGUAGGGAUACCCGCUGAACUUAA